CUUACAAGAUUAAAAUUAAAUUUGGUUGAUGAUGGUUCUGAACAAAUACAGCUCUUUUAUUUGAGGUAUGCCAUUUUGAAGACUGAGAACCAUGGAGUUUUAUCCUUGAGUAUAAAGGAAAUAUUCGCAGAAGUCUCUAUUUUAUACAGCAAAAAUGUGACUCCAGAGACUGAAUUCUCUAAAGGGCCUGUACAACGUAGUAGAUGUUGGUGGAAGCAUUUACACCCAGUCAGCUUGAAGAGUCUCAAAUGGACCCUACCACUGAGAAAACAAGAUGGCAGUCCACUAUGGGGAUUUGAGGAAAAUGGAUUAAUACAAGAGUGCUGUGAUAAUACACAACCAAGACAGGGUUCUUUUAACGUGGAUUUCAUGAAAUGAAGACAUAGGUUUCUUACCCAGCACAAAUGGACAGUGGAUUUGACUUUCUAAAGACUUUUUGUAUCCCUAAAACAAGUACAUUCUUGACAUUUGGAGAAGAAAGAUGGCACAGUAACACAGAUGUUAGUUUGUAUGCCUGGAAAUUUUUGCAGUUGGAUUUGUAUGAGUAUGAUCUUGUGGAAUGUUAACUUUAAUAAACUUUCUAACACUUUAAAAUUUCUCA
rnacentral:lncRNA from 1 species